rnacentral:lncRNA from 1 species
AGCUCCUACAGACAGCUUCCAACCAAGCAUAUUAGGACCUGCCAUCAGGUCCCAGUCACAACCCUGGAAGCUGAAGGCGUCCUAUUUUCUGCCAGCCUCCACCCCAGUCUUCCCCUCCUGUGGCUCUCUAAUAGCUGAAGGGGAAUGGAGCAAUCUCACACCCUUGAAGAUGCCCAUCACCCGAAGUUCUGCUCCAGCAUAAGGAGGUGAAGUGGGAAGGUGGAUGUUUGCAGCUGGAGAGCUGGUAAGAACCUCCAGUUACGUCUAAUCUCUGAGGAAUACUCUGAGGAAUACUUGCCCGUAAAGGAUCUCAUAGCCCCCACAGCACAGCUGCCUGAAACAUCAAGAUGGUGUCAUAGAAACAGAGAUAUCACAUCUGACGAUCUUGCCCUGAUAAAAGCUUCGUCUGGAGCAAUGAUAGUCACUGAAAAUCGCCCUCGGAGAGAAUAGUGCUUCUCUUCCUAUUGCUGAGGAGCCAGCAAAGUACACAGCCCUUCUAGGGCAACCUCGGCGUCAAGUAGCGGCCUCGCUGUACCUGCACUCUUUGGUUAAAAAGA